CAUUAAGAAGCUAUUGCAGCGUUAACCUUUUAAGUUAAAGACUGAGAGUUCUAAUCCUCUCCUUAAUGA
rnacentral:tRNA from 1 species